GCGGCGGGCGGCGAAAGGGGACCUGGUUGCGGCCGUGGGAGGGGGCGCCCGCCGGCGUCCGGGCCGGGCCGCGGGCCUGCGUGGGCGCGGACGGCCGGGCCGGGGCCCGCGGGGUGGGGCGGGCGCCGAGUCUCAGCCUCUGGGGUCGGGAGUCUCCACGGGCGUUUCCGGGGUCUCCGCAGAUGUGAAUCCCGAUGGAGCGGCCCGAGGAAGGCAAGCAGUCGCCGCCGCCGCAGCCCUGGGGACGGCUCCUGCGUCUGGGCGCGGAGGAGGGCGAGCCGUACGUCCUCCUGAGGAAGCGAGAGUGGACCAUCGGGCGGAGACGAGGUUGCGACCUUUCGUUCCCCAGCAAUAAACUGGUCUCUGGAGAUCACUGUAGAAUUGCAGUGGAUGAAAAAUCAGGUCAGGUGACACUGGAAGAUACCAGCACCAGUGGAACAGUGAUUAACAAGCUGAAGGUUGUUAAGAAGCAGACGUGCCCUUUACAGACUGGGGAUGUCAUCUACUUGGUGUACAGGAAGAAUGAACCGGAACACAACGUGGCAUACCUCUAUGAAUCUUUAAAUGAAAAGCAAGGCAUGACACAAGAAUUCUUU
rnacentral:sRNA from 1 species